GAGAGAGGGAGAGGGAUGGGGGAGGAGGGGGGGGUCCAGGAGGAAGAGGUCAGAAACAAGACUUUCCUCAAACAAGGACGAGUCUGAGACGAGGAGACAUGAUGAUGUUGAGAGGAACAGAGACAAGAGUGAUGGUCAACAAGAGAGAGGAGAGGAAACAAGAGGGGAGGAUAGGAAACAAGAGGAGAGGGAACAAGAGGGCAGGAGAGAAGAGGAGAGGGAACAAGAGGGCAGGAGAGGUGAAGAAACAAGAAGAGAGGAGAUGGAGGAAGUAGGGAAGGAAGCAAGGAGGCAACGGAUGGGAGUGCAGUACGACACGUCUCCAUGGUAACCGCUGACUGUCGUGUGAGCGCCCCCUGCUGCUGACAGUCGUCUUGCUGUUGCUGUUGAAACAAAUCACUUCCUGUGUGCAGCGUGAGGAGUGUCACCGGGUGACACGAACGCUCCGACAAUCGUCGUUGGGUAAGUUUCCCUUAAGUUUCCUCUUAAACAUUACCUUAGUAACGCUGCACCUCCGGCUGGUUCCAUACAGGGGGCAGUGUAAGCACAUGUGUGUCUAUAAAUCAUAAUAACAUCAAUAACAUCGUUCUUUUUAGUGACAUCAUAUUUAGAAUCAGUUACGUUUUUCAAAACAUUUGUGGUCGCAUAAAAAACCUGUUUUUGUGACAUAAGCGUUCUCAGAUUUUUUGAAAACAGUCUUUAGUAAAUCAUUUUGUGACAUGAGUAACAACAGUAUCCUGUUUGUGUGAGUGCAACAUUUUUAUAAGUUUUUGUUUUUUGCUCACGUAAAAUCUGACACAUUUACUCGCUGACGCCGUCUAAUCUCGCUGACGCCGUCUAAUCCAGCACCCUUUCAUUUUUCGGGAGGUUACAAAGUUACAUGCUGCAGCUUUUAAUGUCGUAAUCCAGGCUUUCUCACAGAUUAUUAUUAUUGUUGUCAUAAUCUUGGGGAUUAAAGCAGGUGCCGUGCGUCCUGUAUGAAGGACACAGGAAGUGAAGUCAGACAAUAAUCCUGUCCUUCAUCAGUUAACUUCACCUUGUCUAAAAUUGUCCAAUCUAAAGAGAUGAAUGUGUUCAUAGCGUCCUCAGCGUCCACUGUGUCCUCAGCGUCCACUGCGUCCUCAGCGUCCACCGUCUUGUUCUUCCUGUCAGUGAUUCAUGAGCUCAGCUCCCUGUGGAUCCGCCCACUUUUCAUCCUUAUUUAUAGUUUCAUGUGUUAAAACAGAACAACGACCAACGCUGAGUCACAGCAGAGGACGAUUCAUGAGACAGACACAGAGAGAGACAGUCAGACAGACAGAGAGAGAGACAGACAGUAUGAAGAUCAGCAGCUUCAGCAGAGACAGUCUGAUCUGUCAUCACAGUCCUGUGUCCACCAGUGUCUCCAGGGACAUGAGACCAGCAGCUGCCGAUCACAUGACCUGAUCACAUGACCCGUGUUUCCAUCCAAGUGUUGAUUGAACUCAUGUGUGUGCAAAUCAAACAUUUGUGUGUAAGUGAGUCUUUAACUGUGUGACUGUGUGUGUGUGGGAUUAGUUUGACAUCUUUUAUAUUUUUUAUUUCUAUUUGUUUGUUUUUUCACUUUAAAUUGAAGAAAAAAGUAUUUUAAAAACCUCUUUCAUGUCAAAACAAAAUAAAUAGGAAACACAAAGAUGAAAUGAUAGAUAAUGCAGUAAAAUCCAUAACAUGCACUUUUGCACUUGCCAAAAAGUGAUCCCAGCUCCUUCUUACUAACAUAAAGGUUUUAUUCUGCCUCAAAACGUCCUGAUAUCACUCAUGAGGGGAAUAUUUGACACACCAAGUCGCUCCACUUCAGCCUUUUUUUUAUCUUUGAGGUGGAAAUACAACCCAUAACAUGUUAGUUUCCACUUGCUAAAAAGUGAACCGUGACAUUAUUUCUGCCUCAGAAUGACUUGGUUUCAUUCACGCUGCUAAUAUUUGGCAGAUUAUACCUCACAAAGUCCCUUUUUCCUGUUAGAAUAGCCUUAAAGGGCCAGUACAGCCGCCACGUGUGAUCACUGACAGCUCAGAAAUAUAACAACACUAAAGACGCGCGUGUUUAUUUAACCUGUAAAUCAUUAAACACACUGUUGUUUUAAAACGUCUGACUUUUACACAUCAGAGUGUUUGUCCUCAAACACACACACACACACACACACACACACACACACACACACGCACACACAGACAGAUUUGACACCCACCACCCGUGGUUACAGUUUUACAGCCUUCCUCCCUCCGUGGGUGUGAUUCCCGUCACUGUGGGGUGUGUGUGUGUGUGUGUGUGUGUGUGUGUGUGUGAAAGUGCUAAAAAGCCUUCCCAGUAAACUCUGUGUCGUUGUUGUGUCUUGUUGUGCAAAUGUUUUGAGGGAAAGUUUGCCGACGCCGGCGCGCAGCGAGGUACAACAGUGUAGUGAGAGCGGGCAGCGGUGGGAGGGGCUGGUGGCGGGAGCCACAGGGAGAGCGCCAAACGCGUCUGCAGGUCACAGGUCAUAGGUCACAGGCCACGCCUCCAGCAUGUUACAGUUGGUCCAGGUAAACACGCCACGCCAUCGUUAAAGUUCGCUUCAGUCCUGGUUCAGACGACAAACGACGGCGUGGAACGACAGAGCGACGACGGAGCGACGACGGAGCGACGACAGAGCGACGACGGAGCGACGACAGAGCGACGACGGAGCACGUCCAAACAUGGCGGCCAUUCCAGAGUUUGCUCACAUGACUUAAUACUCACACACACACAACAUGUGGUCAUUGUUUGUCUGUUUUUGUCUCUUUGUGGUUGUUUUGUGUCUCUUUUUUAAUGAUAAAACGUUCCGAUGUUACAGCACAUGUUUACGAUAUUUACCCGCUGAAGAAAUGUCGUUGUUUUGUCGCGUUUGUAAAUACAAUUGGUUUUAUUACUGUAUUUUAUUGAUGGUUUUGUGUGAAAUAAUUCGUUUUUUUGUGUUUGUGGAGAGAGCUGUAUAAGGUUGUAGUUGCUUUGUGCGAACACAGGAGGGCGCUCCAUACACAUUCAAUGAAGGAAAUCUAGGGAUGCGUGCAUUGCAUGCUGGGAGAGAGAGAGAGAGAGAGACGACACUGAUGCUCCCACGAUCUUUUAACGAGCAGGAUUAUUAACACUUUGUGGAAGGAGUGCAGUUUUAUUUCCACAGACAGACACAAGUGUGUUUGUGUUUCUGAGUUGUCACGACAGGGUUCCAGGACAGCGGCGACCGGAACCGGAACCGGAACUUGCUGUAUUUUGUUUUAACAACUCAACACUCCGAAGUUGCUGAAUCUACAUGGAGGCGACAGCGUUGAUUGCGACCAGGGUUUCCGUCCGAGACGGGUCUGGAUUUGAGACGACCCAGAGUGCACCUGGAGCAACUCGCAUACUACCCGGGUAGCACACAUGCACACACUGACUUUGGACCUGACUGGCCAGACUUUUAUAUUAACAGCAAUAAGCUGUCAGAGGACACUGUAUUUUGUUCUUUUGUUUUUUUAUUUUUUUGUGAAUCCAUGUGGAGAUUUAAAAAAAGAAUAGAGCUGAAUGAUAGACAGCAGAUUCAUUUGAUUUAAUAAUAAAAAAUAAGGUAUUAAAGUAAGAAAUCAUUGUGUCAAGUAUGUGAGUGAGAAAGCUCGCCUGUUAUUUUUAUCAUAUAUUAACGAGUUGGUAACAAAAGGCCUCCUCAGGAGAAACACCACAUAUGUUCCACUGCAACACUUUGGAAUAAAUUACCAAACAGUCUUUAUUUAAUCAUCUGUGAGGCUGUCGCCUCUGUGCGCCGCGCCGCCGUCUCCUGCUCCACGCUGCAAAAGAUGACGAGACCACGUCCUGGAGAACAUCUGGGACUAACUCA